rnacentral:rRNA from 1 species
GCAUAACGCGAAGAACCUUACCUAGGCUUGACAUGCAUCUCUAAGCACGUGAAAGCGUGUGACCCUUCGGGGAAUUUGCACAGGUGCUGCAUGGCCGUCGUCAGCUCGUGUCGUGAGAUGUUGGGUUAAGUCCCGCAACGAGCGCAACCCUUGUGACUAGUUGCCAGCACGUUAUGGUGGGAACUCUAGUCAGACCGCCCAGAUCAACUGGGAGGAAGGUGGGGACGACGUCAGGUCAGUAUGGCCCUUACGCCUAGGGCUGCACACGUACUACAAUGCCCAGCACAAUGAGAACCGAGACCGCGAGGUGGAGGAAAUCUAAAAAACUGGGCCCAGUUCGGAUUGGAGGCUGCAACUCGCCUCCAUGAAGUUGGAAUCGCUAGUAAUGGCGCAUCAUCUACGGCGCCGUGAAUACGUUCCCGGGUCUUGUACACACCG